AGUUCAAACACAGGCGGCUCCCCUGCAGCUGCCUGCCGGAAAUGAGUGUGUGUCGCUGUGGCUCGCAGCAGUGUGUUGGCUGAAACGGCCACGUUUGAUUUGCCACUGGGAUGAUGGAUGGCAUGUUAAGACCAGCUUCUCGGAGCCUUAUAGUUACCACAGUGAUCAGUCUUGAUGAGUGAACCUAAGUCCUCUUCUUCUUCUGAUCAUGACCGUGGAAGCGGCCACAAAGUAUGGUAGAAGCACACAGGGUUUGGAGUCAGACAAGCUCUGCCUCUCCCCAGCUGUGAGACUUCAGUUUGUUCUUCUAAGCAUGCUGCAUGUGUACUAAAGACACAUAUUGUACAAUAUAAACACAACAGUGCAUCUGAUUUUUC